GACGAACGCUGGCGGCGUGCCUAAUACAUGCAAGUCGAACGCAGUGGGGACGGGUGAGGAACACGUGGGUAACCUCCCAUCAGAGGGGAUAACACUUGGAAACAGGUGCUAAACCGAUACUGAUGGAUGGACCCGCGGUGCAUUAGCUAGUUGGGGAGGUAACGGCUCACCAAGGCCACGAUGCAUAGCCGACCUGGGAGGGUGAGCGGCCACACUGUGGCUGAGACACGGCCCAGGCUCCUACGGGAGGCAGCAGUAGGGAUUCUUCGGCAAUGGACGAACGUCUGACCGAGCAACGCGACGUGAGUGAAGAGGGUUUUCGGAUCGUAAAACUCUGUUGUUAUACAAGCGGUAUCUACCCAGAAAGCCACGGCUAACUACGUGCCAGCAGCCGCGGUAAUAC
rnacentral:rRNA from 1 species